rnacentral:rRNA from 1 species
CUCGCCAGGGGACUACAAGCGCAAGCUUAAAACCCAAAGGACUUGGCGGUGCUUUAGUCCCACCUAGAGGAGCCUGUUCUAGAACCGAUAAUCCCCGUUCCACCUCACCCUCCCUUGCUUAUUCCGCCUAUAUACCGCCGUCGUCAGCUUACCCUGUGAAGGACCUAUCGUAAGCAAAAUUGGCACAGCCUAAAACGUCAGGUCGAGGUGUAGCGCAUGAGAGGGAAAGAAAUGGGCUACAUUCACUGAAACAGUGAACCACGGAAGAUGAACUGAAAACACAUCCAAAGGAGGAUUUAGCAGUAAGAAGGAAAUAGAGUGUCCCUCUGAAAUUGGCCCUGAAGCGCGCACACACCGCCCGUCACUCUCCCCACGCCACACAACCUUUAAUAACUAAACAAGAAGUACGGCAAAGAGGAGGCAAGUCGUAACAUGGUAAGUGUACCGGAAGGUGCACUUGGAAAAAU